UACGAAGGGGGCUAGCGUUGCUCGGAAUCACUGGGCGUAAAGGUGCGUAGGCGGGUCUUUAAGUCAGGGGUGAAAUCCUGGAGCUCAACUCCAGAACUGCCUUUGAUACUGAGGAUCUUGAGUUCGGGAGAGUGAGUGGAACUGCGAGUGUAGAGGUGAAAUUCGUAGAUAUUCGCAAGAACACCAGUGGCGAAGGCGGCUCACUGGCCCGAUACUGACGCUGAGGCACGAAAGCGUGGGAGCAAACAGGG
rnacentral:rRNA from 1 species